UCUGCUUACUGCGCAUGCUCCGGAUAGCGAAUCGGCUCAUUGACUAUAGCUCAAUAGUUUACUACUAUAUUAGAUCAAUUUCUGAAACGCUAUUUUACAUCAAGCAUGGGAUGAAGGAGAGGCUGUAAAAUACCCGGAUUGUACCGAUGCAAUUAGCUGUUUUUAGUUUUUAAAAUCAAAAGUGAAGUUCCUAAAAACACGGACACCGGAGGACUCCCUAAUGAUGAUUCAAGUCAUUUUGUUUGGAUACUUCCUGACGUGCGUUUCUGGUGACGGGGUUGCGGAUGUGGUUCUCUCUUGCACCCUGGUGGAGGAGGGGGUGGGGGUGGAUGGGAUGGGAGGCGGGUCUCAGUUCAGACGGACUCCAGCCACUCUCAUCCUAAGAGACGUCCCAGUGGCUCCUGACCAAUCCCUGGAGACGCUCACUCCGUUUGUCCCGCCUUCAUUCCCUGACCCAGAUGCCAUCCUGUUAGAAGCCAAAGAUACCAAACCAAAGAAAGAUCAAACAGCACCUUUAAGAGCCUUUUUCAAUUUCUUCUCUUCUCCCUCCUCAGAGCUAUAUUCCCUACAUUUCUUCCUGUUUUCUCCCCAUUUUUACCAUCUUCAUCUCUGUCUCUUUACCACUUUCUCUUUA